GACGAACGCUGGCGGCGUGCUUAACACAUGCAAGUCGAACGGAAAGGCCCUGCUUUUGUGGGGUGCUCGAGUGGCGAACGGGUGAGUAACACGUGAGUAACCUGCCCUUGACUUUGGGAUAACUUCAGGAAACUGGGGCUAAUACCGGAUAGGAGCUCCUGCUGCAUGGUGGGGGUUGGAAAGUUUCGGCGGUUGGGGAUGGACUCGCGGCUUAUCAGCUUGUUGGUGGGGUAGUGGCUUACCAAGGCUUUGACGGGUAGCCGGCCUGAGAGGGUGACCGGCCACAUUGGGACUGAGAUACGGCCCAGACUCCUACGGGAGGCAGCAGGGGGGAAUAUUGCAAAAUGGGCGGAAGCCUGAUGCAGCAACGCCGCGUGCGGGAUGACGGCCUUCGGGUUGUAAACCGCUUUCGCCUGUGACGAAGCGUGAGUGACGGUAAUGGGUAAAGAAGCACCGGCUAACUACGUG
rnacentral:rRNA from 1 species